rnacentral:rRNA from 1 species
CAGUAGCCACGGGAAUACGGAGGGGGCUAGCGUUGUUCGGAAUUACUGGGCGUAAAGCGCACGUAGGCGGCUUUGUAAGUUAGAGGUGAAAGCCCGGAGCUCAACUCCGGAAUUGCCUUUAAGACUGCAGAGCUAGCAGGUGAGAGAGGUGAGUGGAAUUCCGAGUGUAGAGGUGAAAUUCGUAGAUAUUCGGAAGAACACCAGUGGCGAAGGCGGCUCACUGGCUCAUACUGGACGCUGAGGUGCGAAAGCGUGGGGAGCAAACAGGAUUAGAUACCCCCGUAGUCCCUGUCUCUUAUAC